rnacentral:sRNA from 1 species
GGGGGUGUACUGGUUUCGACGGGGGUGUGGAGGCAGAAAUAGCGGGCGGAUGCGCCUACCAUCCUUAAAAUGGGCAACCUUAUAAAUUAAAGAACAACAACAAUACUGUUCUUCUCGCUGCUUAAUUAGCGAGCGUUCCCCCCGGGAGUACCACGGCCCGGGACGGAGCGUCGACGAGUGGUGAACGUGCGUAUGCUAAGCUUUGCGCAUACCAUGCAUCAUGAAGCUACCAAGUCCCUGAGCGUGACGGCCCGCACUGGGAUGAGGGAAUGCAAAGGACCGUCUGCGCCCGGAGAAGUUUCUGUCAAAGCGCUUUCGGACGGGAGUUCGAUUCUCCCCACCUCCACCA